AGAGUUUGAUCCUGGCUCAGAUUGAACGCUGGCGGCAUGCCUUACACAUGCAAGUCGAACGGUAGAGUAGCAAUACUUGAGAGUGGCGAACGGGUGAGUAAUAUAUCGGAACGUGCCCAGUCGUGGGGGAUAACGUAGAGAAAUUUACGCUAAUACCGCAUACGAUCUAAGGAUGAAAGCGGGGGAUCGCAAGACCUUGCGCGAUUGGAGUGGCUGAUAUCAGAUUAGGUUGUUGGUGAGGUAAAAGCUCACCAAGCCGACGAUCUGUAGCUGGUUUGAGAGAACGACCAGCCACACUGGGACUGAGACACGGCCCAGACUCCUACGGGAGGCAGCAGUGGGGAAUUUUGGACAAUGGGCGAAAGCCUGAUCCAGCAAUGCCGCGUGUGGGAAGAAGGCCUUCGGGUUGUAAACCACUUUUGUACGGAACGAAACGGUUCGCUUUAAUACAGUGGGCUAAUGACGGUACCGUAAGAAUAAGCACCGGCUAACUACGUGCCAGCAGCCGCGGUAAUACGUAGGGUGCGAGCGUUAAUCGGAAUUACUGGGCGUAAAGCGUGCGCAGGCGGUUAUAUAAGACAGUUGUGAAAUCCCCGGGCUCAACCUGGGAAUUGCAUCUGUGACUGUAUAGCUAGAGUACGGUAGAGGGGGAUGGAAUUCC
rnacentral:rRNA from 1 species